rnacentral:lncRNA from 13 species
CACUCUGCAUACUAUCCCUUACUUCCCUCCUGACCCUAAUACUGAUGUGGUAAACAUAAAAGCCUAAACAUUGCAGGGGAGAGCAAAUCAUCUGCAGUCAACUAGAGCACAGCAGCAGCCACUGAUGAAUGAGAGAACAAACUUGCCUUCCUUCUAAGUGUGGGCCUUCCAGUCAUCCACAGUUUCAUUUCCAGUUCCAGCUGCCCAGAAGGGAGGUGAGAUGCAGCAAAACAACACCCUCAAGUCUCUGGAAUCCAAACACGCCUGCCGCAGUUAACCAUCAUGUACACCUAGGGACAAGUCUGGGUUCAGCCAUGUGCUGUAGAUCUGUACUUUGUAGGAAUUGAGAGUAUGUAUGAAUUUGGGGUUGAUAGCUAGGUAGAUACUCAGUUAUUUCCGUAUCACUUGUUAUAGCCAUCUUCCCACCGCCAUGACCACCUAGACCCUUCCCCAGAACUCUCUGGACCUUCCUAAUCCUGCAACUUAAGAGGCAAUGCCUGGCCAACAGGGGGUGGGAGGAUGCCAGUGGAGCUUUGAUUAGGUACCGUGACCAACAUUCUUUCUAAUUGGUUGAUACCUGAGCCAUCUAGUCAUUAUAAAUCUUAAAUUUCAACCCUGUGCAAGUGUGCUGUAGUCUUGGUUCCCUUAUAAAAAAUGAAAAAGAAAAAUAGCCUGCCAUGUCAAAUAUUCUCAGCCUGCAGUUUCUUCUCUUCAAAGGCCACCCCAGAGGCAUGAAUGUUUGUUUGCAACAAGGAGAUGAUUUCAUAAAUAUUGCUCUUUGCCAAAUCCCCAGAGGCCAUUGAAGGUUGGGUGCUAAUAAAGCUUGAAUUCCUAUUAAGCA